rnacentral:rRNA from 1 species
CCUACGGGAGGCAGCAGUGGGGAAUAUUGCGCAAUGGGCGAAAGCCUGACGCAGCGAUGCCGCGUGAGGGCUGAAGGUCUUCGGAUCGUAAACUUCUGUCAGCAGGGAAGAACGGUCACUGUGCUAAUCAGCAGUGAAUUGACGGUACCUGCAAAGGAAGCACCGGCUAACUCCGUGCCAGCAGCCGCGGUAAUACGGAGGGUGCGAGCGUUAAUCGGAAUUACUGGGCGUAAAGCGCUCGUAGGCGGUAUGUCAAGUCAAGGGUGAAAUCCCCGGGCUCAACGUGGGAACUGCCUUUGAAACUGGCAAACUAGAGUGUGGGAGAGGAUAGUGGAAUUCCAGGUGUAGGGGUGAAAUGCGUAGAUAUCUGGAGGAACAUCAGUGGCGAAGGCGACUAUCUGGCACAUGACUGACGCUGAGGAGCGAAAGCGUGGGUAGCAAACAGGAUUAGAUACCCUUGUAGUC